rfam:Myotis davidii contig84860, whole genome shotgun sequence.
GGCAGUUCUCAGGUGAAGCACCCUGGAACCAGAGCGGAGAGAGCCCAAUUCCGGUGUGCGUCACCUGAGAACCGCC